rnacentral:lncRNA from 1 species
UCACAGCCACCUUCCUGCCUCUCCAGCAUACGAUCAGAUCAAAUCUUCUCAAGAUCCUACCAACACUCAGUCCGCGAUGAAUAGAAGACGCCUCGCUACCAGCCGUUCCAUCAAGACACAACCAUUACCAUCGUCGGAACAGAACUAAGACUCAAUCUAAGUCUUAACCGCCAAAAUCGCAUUCCAGAACCAAACAUCCGAUAACCGCCUCAGAUAACUCUUGCCGUCUGAUCUGUAUCAUCAGUACAGACGCCUCCCAUCAGAAACCAUCAAACCGUGUACAGAACCAGCCAAUCCAGCCUCCACAGGACUCGCCAUCCAUCAGGGAAGAUCUGCAUCAUCAAGCCCACGGUAUGAAGGACAACUCGAAUUCACAAGAACCCACGCAGAACACAGAUUCGGUCUGUUCCCUUCCCGUACUGUACCUGAUCAGAUACAGUAUGCCGAUCUAUUAUUAGUACCCACGCUCUAUCCCUUCGAUCCAGUAUCAUUGUCUCUCGGUAUCCCAGUCGCGAUCCGAUCAUGUUCAGAUCAGACGAAGUCGCAGUGCACCAGACAGACCCGCGGACAGUAACUGAGACCCCGA